rnacentral:rRNA from 1 species
GACGAACGCUGGCGGCGUGCUUAACACAUGCAAGUCGAACGGAAAGGCCCUGCUUUUGUGGGGUGCUCGAGUGGCGAACGGGUGAGUAACACGUGAGUAACCUGCCCUUGACUUUGGGAUAACUUCAGGAAACUGGGGCUAAUACCGGAUAGGAGCUCCUGCUGCAUGGCGGGGGUUGGAAAGUUUCGGCGGUUGGGGAUGGACUCGCGGCUUAUCAGCUUGUUGGUGGGGUAGUGGCUUACCAAGGCUUUGACGGGUAGCCGGCCUGAGAGGGUGACCGGCCACAUUGGGACUGAGAUACGGCCCAGACUCCUACGGGAGGCAGCAGUGGGGAAUAUUGCACAAUGGGCGGAAGCCUGAUGCAGCAACGCCGCGUGCGGGAUGACGGCCUUCGGGUUGGAAACCGCUUUCGCCUGUGACGAAGCGUGAGUGACGGUAAUGUGUAAAGAAGCACCGGCUAACUACGUG